AUGAACGCUGGCGGCAGGCCUAACACAUGCAAGUCGAACGGAGUUAUAUUGUAGCUUGCUAUGGUAUAACUUAGUGGCAGACGGGUGAGUAAUGUAUAGGAAUCUACCUAGUAGUACGGAAUAAUUGUUGGAAACGGCAACUAAUACCGUAUACGCCCUACGGGGGAAAAAUUUAUUGCUAUUAGAUGAGCCUAUAUUAGAUUAGCUAGUUGGUGGAGUAAUAGCCUACCAAGGCAAUGAUCUAUAGCUGAUCUGAGAGGAUGAUCAGCCACACUGGAACUGAGAUACGGUCCAGACUCCUACGGGAGGCAGCAGUGGGGAAUAUUGGACAAUGGGCGAAAGCCUGAUCCAGCCAUGCCGCAUGAGUGAAGAAGGCCUUUGGGUUGUAAAGCUCUUUUAGUGAGGAAGAUAAUGACGGUACUCACAGAAGAAGUCCUGGCUAACUCCGUGCCAGCAGCCGCGGUAAUACGGAGAGGGCUAGCGUUAUUCGGAAUUAUUGGGCGUAAAGGGCGCGUAGGCGGAUUAGUAAGUUAAAAGUGAAAUCCCAAGGCUCAACCUUGGAAUUGCUUUUAA
rnacentral:rRNA from 1 species